AACGAACGCUGGCGGCAGGCCUAACACAUGCAAGUCGAACGCUCCGCGAGGGGAGUGGCGCACGGGUGAGUAACACGUGGGAACCUACCUUCUGGUACGGAACAACCAAGGGAAACUUUGGCUAAAACCGUAUACGACCUCCGGGUGAAAGAUUGAUCGCCGGAAGAGGGGCCCGCGUCCGAUUAGGUAGUUGGUGAGGUAACGGCUCACCAAGCCUACGAUCGGUAGCUGGUCUGAGAGGAUGGCCAGCCACACUGGGACUGAGACACGGCCCAGACUCCUACGGGAGGCAGCAGUGGGGAAUAUUGGACAAUGGGCGCAAGCCUGAUCCAGCCAUGCCGCGUGAGUGAUGAAGGCC
rnacentral:rRNA from 1 species